GCAUCUUUGGAUGAAUUUAAUAUUUAAUUUGUUUCCACAAGGUGACAGAUAUUAUUAAUAAUGCUAUACUUGCACAUUUCGAACUAAGUUUUGUUGAGAAGCAGGGAUACACUACUGCUCAUGGAAGGGGAGGGUAUGCAAAGAAUGCUCUUGAUGUAAAUUUCGAUAAAUGUUUGCUAAGUUUUUAAUUAUUUUAAAAAAAUUAAUUGUAGCAGGGGAAAGUAGUUUUGUGGCUUUGUG
rnacentral:misc_RNA from 1 species